rnacentral:rRNA from 1 species
UACGUAGGGUGCGAGCGUUAAUCGGAAUUACUGGGCGUAAAGCGUGCGCAGGCGGCCCGUUAAGACAGGUGUGAAAUCCCCGGGCUCAACCUAGGAAUUGCGCUUGUGACUGGAGGGCUUGAGUGCGGUAGAGGGGGGUGGAAUUCCUGGUGUAGCAGUGAAAUGCGUAGAUAUCAGGAGGAACACCGAUGGCGAAGGCAGCCCUCUGGGCCUGCACUGACGCUCAUGCACGAAAGCGUGGGGAGCAAACAGG